rnacentral:rRNA from 1 species
GACGAACCGUGCGAACGUUGUUCGGAAUCACUGGGCUUAAAGGGUGCGUAGGCGGCCCGGUAAGUCAGUGGUGAAAUCUCCUUGCUUAACAAGGAAACUGCCAUUGAUACUGCUGGGCUUGAGUACAGAUGCUGCGGGCGGAAUAUGACAUGUAGUGGUGAAAUACAUAGAGAUGUCAUAGAACACCGAUUGCGAAGGCAGCUCACAAAACUGUAACUGACGCUGAGGCACGAAAGUGCGGGGAUCAAACAGG